rnacentral:tRNA from 1 species
UAUUCGUUAGUGUACAGAGCAUAAAAAGUUUUGAUCUUUUAGGGAGUGGUGCAAUUCCAUUACGUUUAA